CCGCCCUUUGCAUUAGGGAGCCUACACUGACCAACGACACUUGCUGCUUCCAUACUUGGUGUUUGAAGGACUUUUGGCUGUUGUCCAGGGUGUGGUUGUCAUCAUUGUCCUAGUUGCUAUUAUUGCCAGUGGUAUUCUUCAGCUUCUUUUGCUUCUCUGCUCUCUCAUGCUGGGACUCGCCUUGCAGAUCUACUUCCUCAUGGUCGUGGUGUCAUUCUACAAGCAGUUGGCCUUUAUCAGUCAGAACCCAGGACAAGUGGGCAUGACCCCAGGUGCUGUAAUGGUCCCCAGUGGUUAUGUUGCACAGCCAGGUUACCCUGCAGCUCCACCGCAGUACCCACCACAGUACCCACCACAGUACCCGCAGCAGUACCCACCACAGUACCCACAGCAGUACCCACCACCCGGACAAGAUAAGAUGAACAUGGUGUGAUGGGCAACACUAAGCAAUGGCAGUGAUGACUGGUGAUGUAGUGCCAGUUGCAUAGUUAGUUGCUGCCAGACCGCGCAACUGCUUGCGGACAUUUUACCUGCAGUACUGAGCUUGUACCUGCUGCACAUUUGAUGUGCUCUCUGGCUCUGCUUUGUUGACGUUCGAUGGCUUCCUUAAGAAUCUCAUUUUGACCACACAAUUAUUUGUAGCGAAAAAUUUUCAUCUGCUGUAGUUCUUUAAAAAUGGCUGUUGAAAAUUCGGACAGGAGACUUGGCAAAAUCUAGGUGGGCAGAGACUUCUUCAAUUCAGGGCCAGUUUUCACUAAUAUAACUGUAUUGCAAAACUCAAUUUUAGCAUCUGAAAUAUUUGUUUCGGUAAUAUGCUUACACCCGAUGAAAAAAAAAUAAAAAUUGUGCCAAUGGGGCAGAGAAACUUGCCAAUUCCAUAUAAUUGAAACAUAAGUCCAUUUGAAUCUUCUACAGUUGCUGUAUCUUUCUUUCCUGUUAUGGCAUGCUGUGCAGCUGAGCCCGAAUUUUCCACCAUGUAGACUACAAGUGCAGCUUUUCUCUUGACACUGGAAAGUUAGAUUUUCUUUUAUCUCCGGGGUGCAGAUGACCUUGGCUGUGACUCAUUCAGUCAUUUAUAAGUGUAGUGUUGCAUUGACUGAAAUAUGAAUAUGCACUUUGUUUUUAGUUAUUUUCCUGCAGUGUUCAUUGGCAGCAGCUAUUUUCCUGUAGUGUUCAUUUGCAGCAGCUAUUUUCCUGCAGUGUUCAUUUGCAGCAGCUGAGCUGCUCAUUAUAUUUUCUUCUCCUGACACAUUUGACCUGCCCUUGCAUUUGGCAUUGCAGAUCUUUAUACCUUUUCUCAUAUUUCAUACUAUUAUUCAACAUCGAUAGCUCUUAACUUCGAUGCAAUGUACUUUGUUCAUUGAUUAUUUUGAGUGCAGCAGUUGACAACUUAUGUCAUACUUAUGUCGAUCGUGAAAUGUAUUUGCAUGUACUCUAACUCGGCACUUUUUGUGCUUGUUCCUUUGCACAGUUUUCUAGUCUUUCAAAGAGUUUUUGCAAUUCUUGUACUUCUUUGGCCUCAAGAUUUUUAUAAUCAUUGGAGUAUAUUGGAUGCUCUAUUUACAGACUUAACGUGCCUUGCAAUGUGCAGCUGACAGCAUAUUAAUAUUGCAGCAUAUUGAUACCAUGGUGAAUGUUUACUGUUAUGCUUUUUCUGUAGCAUUUGCUGACAUGUAAAACUGUUGAAGCAUGUUACAUUUUCUGUCAAUGUCCUAGUCUUGGUAAACGAAUUUGUUAGUUGUUUUAUCAGUGUCAUGAAGAUAUUCAUGUCACUUCUAUUUUUGUUUUAAAUUUUAUCAGUGUUGUGGUGAAGGUGUUCAUGUAAUUUUUAUUUUUGUUUUGAAUUGCUUUCUCUGCAACCUUUCAGACCCUUCUUCAGUGCAUUUCUUUUUUCAGUCUUGCAGAUGCCACAAUGCAUUUUUGUUAAACACAGCGUGUGUUUUGUUUGCAUUUAUUUGAUACAUUUAAUAAAGAGAAAGACUGUUUCUGAA
rnacentral:lncRNA from 1 species